GAUGAACGCUAGCGGCAGGCUUAAUACAUGCAAGUCGUGGGGCAGCAGGGCUGUAGCAAUACAGUUGCUGGCGACCGGCAAACGGGUGCGUAACACGUACGCAACCUUCCCGUUACUGUGGCAUAGCCCAGGGAAACUUGGAUUAAUACCACAUAUUAUAUUGGAGAGGCAUCUCUUUGAUAUUAAAGCUCCGGCGGUUAAAGAUGGGCGUGCGUCUGAUUAGGUAGUUGGCGGGGUAACGGCCCACCAAGCCCACGAUCAGUAGCUGAUGUGAGAGCAUGAUCAGCCACACGGGCACUGAGACACGGGCCCGACUCCUACGGGAGGCAGCAGUAAGGAAUAUUGGUCAAUGGACGCAAGUCUGAACCAGCCAUGCCGCGUGGAGGAUGAAGGCCCUCUGGGUUGUAAACUUCUUUUCUUUGGGACGAAACCCCUGUUUCUACGGGGACUGACGGUACCAGAGGAAUAAGCACCGGCUAACUCCGUGCCAGCAGCCGCGGUAAAAC
rnacentral:rRNA from 1 species